rnacentral:rRNA from 1 species
UACGUAGGCAGCAAGCGUUGUUCGGAGUUACUGGGCGUAAAGGGUGCGUAGGCGGCUUUUUAAGUUUGGUGUGAAAUCUCCCGGCUCAACUGGGAGGGUGCGCCGAAUACUGAGAGGCUAGAGUGUGGGAGAGGAAAGUGGAAUUCCUGGUGUAGCGGUGAAAUGCGUAGAUAUCGGGAGGAACACCUGUGGCGAAAGCGGCUCACUGGACCGCAACGUGACGCUGAGGCGCGAAAGCUGAGGGGAGCCAAACAGGG